rnacentral:rRNA from 1 species
CUCCUACGGGAGGCAGCAGUGGGGAAUAUUGCACAAUGGGCGCAAGCCUGAUGCAGCCAUGCCGCGUGUAUGAAGAAGGCCUUCGGGUUGUAAAGUACUUUCAGCAGUGAGGAAGGUGGUAGUGUUAAUAGCACUAUUAUUUGACGUUACCUACAGAAGAAGCACCGGCUAACUCCGUGCCAGCAGCCGCGGUAAUACGGAGGGUGCGAGCGUUAAUCGGAAUUACUGGGCGUAAAGCGCAUGCAGGCGGCCUGUUAAGUCAGAUGUGAAAGCCCGGGGCUUAACCUCGGAAUUGCAUUUGAAACUGGCAGGCUAGAGUCUUGUAGAGGGGGUAGAAUUUCAGGUGUAGCGGUGAAAUGCGUAGAGAUCUGAAGGAAUACCAGUGGCGAAGGCGGCCCCCUGGACAAAGACUGACGCUCAGAUGCGAAAGCGUGGGGAGCAAACAGGAUUAGAUACCCUGGUAG